UUCUGUGUUGUAUAAUGGUUAGGCAGCUGGCCUUGUAACUCAGAGGUUGUGGGUUCAAUUCCCAGCCAUGGCAU